AUCUCUUCUGGGCCUUUUGACAAAGAUCAAGUGUAGUAUCUGUUCUUAUCAGUUUGAUAAUGUUUUAUUCAACAAUACUCUAUGGGAUAAUAUAU
rnacentral:snRNA from 1 species